CACAUAGGCAGGGACUCUCAGAGGUGUUUUGUAACAGGGCCAGCUCCCUGCUAAUCUAUUUUAGCAACCUCCCCAGUUCAAUCCCAUGUACUAAUAUGCAAUAUGUCAUAUUAUACACAAAGCUUUUUUUUUUGUGUGCACACAGGUUAUCAUUACAGAUAAUGUAUUCUGUAUACAGUACAUUUUGUAUGGGACGGGUUUUGGAGUAUAAGGUCUGUGCUCCACAUGUAAAGCUCUGCAGAGUUCAUCUCUGCACUCGGCUGCUAAACUCCUAAUCCUUUAUAUUUAUGCGUUUGUGAUUGUGUGUCACCCUGCUAGAUCCCUAUUCUUUUGAAUACUGCAACUAUAGAAGAAUAUGCUUCAAGGACAAUGUGAAGCAAAGGACUUUUUUUUUGUUCUGAAGAUGCAGUAUAGGAGGUAAUGAACCAGCGUGUCUUUCUCUAUAUCUGCUGAUCCUCUUGUCCUCUGGGCCUGGCACUGUGAAAUACCUUUUAGCAUCUAUCCAGGUUAAUGCAGAUUUAAUCUACUUUUGCUGCAUCGCUAUCCAGUAUAAGCCAUGCUGACAGUGCACGUCAUACGGGUGCUGAUGGAGCUUCAACCUAUAUGCAAUAAGAUGUAUCCCAGCUGAAACGUGUACAUUUUAUUACAUUCCAUCAUCCAGAUCCCUGCCUAUAUGUACACCAUGACAGCUGACCUUCGGUCAAAUAAAGUAAUCGCGUUCCGUC